UGAAUAAAGAUUGAUUAUUGAGCCUGGCUAACCGUACGCCAAACAAGAGGAUAUAAAGUAAAAGUUUUCUACACGCCAUAUGGAAAACUCCGUACCAAAGAAUAUAACUCCGUACGGUCCAGUUUGUCGUUCGUUUAGUCACGUCCUAAAUUAUUGGACCACUCAAUUAGUACUAAUUACAAUUACAUGCAGUAGUUUUGGCAACCAAAAGGGACCUUUAUACGUUGAGAAAUCAUUUUUGUGUUCAUUUUGAGAUAAAGGACAUUCCGCUGACGGCAACAAAGACUGAAAAUAGCUCACAAUCGAACAAAGCAACUCAUUUGCGUCAUACAUACCAAUACCUACCGAUAAUAUUCCAUAGGGAAAACCAAAGCCUUUGUUUCACAGGAUUUCCUCAUACCAUACGCUGAUAAGGCGCCCCAUAAAAUGCGCACCAGUUGAAAAUAAUGUUCUGCAGCUCCAGAAUCAUGUUCGGGAAGAUAUUGGUUGUCCUCGCAGCCCUGGUCAGGAUCUCAUAUAUCGGAGUGACACCAACGAGGCUGGUCGAAAGCUGCCCGAGCGACGUGCUGCCCCUUGAUGAUUGCGGAGAAAAUGAACAUUAUAACUAUAAAGUAUUUUGCGAACCUCAUUGCGGCGACCUAAUUUCUGUCCUCUGUUAUACAGUAGAAAUUAUUAUAUGUAAAAAAUAAAAUUACACACUAUCUUCGUAUUAUUUCGAUAAUAAAGCAUGACGCUAAUCAUUAUAUCUUGUAUUUUAGAUCAAGACGGAUGGCUGCGUGUGUAAAGAAGAAUACACACGCAACGUUGAUGGCAGUGCGUAAAAAUCGAGGACAGUCCUGUCAAGCAGCAACAGGAAACCGACAUAAUCUAUUUUUUCCGACGAAAAAAACGGAGGAGGUUCUCAAGUCGACGCGUAUAUAUGUAUCUGCUAUAUAUAUAUAUAUAUAUAUUUAUGACCACGCAUAACUUUUUACAGAGUAGUUCGAUUUUGAUAAUUAUUUUUUUAUUGGAAAGGGUAUCCUCCGACGUUGGUCCCAUAUAAAUUUGAAAAAUAAAAAAAAUUACCGCCGAAAAAAAAAGGCAAUAAAAAACCGGCACUAACACGGCGAAAACAAUAGCGCACUGAAAAGAAAAAAAUAAUAAUUUUGUCUUCAAUAACGCAAGUGAAUACCCCUACCCUACAAUUACAAUUAUAAUCUAUUUCUAUACACUUGAAUUGAAUUGAAUUACUUUAUUUUACCCACAACAUUUAAAUGUACACAGUUCUGUCAAUAAAGGAAUUUUAUCUUUAUCUUUUAUCUUUAUAAAGUAUGAACUAUAUACAUACUUCUGAAAUCAAUCACACAAAUCUGCGUUAUUGAAGACAAAAUUAUUAUUUUUUUCUUUUCAGUGCGCUAUUGUUUUUUUUGUUGGUCGAUUCGUUUCGUGUUAGUGCCGGUUUUUUUAUUGCCUUUUAGUUUUUUUCGGCGGUAAAAUUUUUUUGUUGAAAAGUUUUUAUUGAUUUCAUAAACUCUAAAGAUCGCUAUCACUACAGCAGUAGGAUCAAUGUUUUGUUUGAAGUGUUCGUCAUGUAUUAAUUAUGUACCCCAAAAUAAACCCGCGUCAAAAUCAAAAGGUUCAGUAAGGAGAUUUCCUAAAAAAAAAAACAAGCCCUUAUUUUUCAGGCGGUUACUCCAGUGGAGCCUUGUAAGUUGCAAACCAUCAAAAUGUAAAUAGACAAUCAUGAUUCGUUGCGUUUUGAGUUGACAUUUAGAAAUUGCGACAUGGCCGAAGUAAUCUCUCGCAGUGUUGACUUUGUUAUUCGAAUUGACAGCCGAAAAAUGGCCAACAGAAUCAACAAAAAAAUUUUAAACCAAAACUUAUAUUGCUCAUUUAAAUAUUAAUGUAGCAAUGAAUACUCAUUGAAGUGGAAGUAACACAAAUUAACUUUUCGGCAUUUCCGCGUCGUCGCUUAUUAUUUUUGUUUGUUAUCAUCUUUGAGUUAUUUUUUUGAUAAAAAAAAAUCAUAAAUCUCUGUUACCCCAGCCCCACGGAAAAUUUCAUAUAAAAAGCGGCGAUCGCUUCAUGAAUUCAUUUUCCUUUUGGACUUUACAGACUUUAACCCUUACGUCGGAUGUAAGCUGUCAAUUUUCCUUACUUGUGAUAAGGAAUUGCUGUCGUUGUCCACAGACGAUACCCAGAAAAAUGUUUGCGUUCAUAAACGUUAUCCUGAUUUCCACUGCAGCGGCUGCCACAGUAUUUGCGAUGCCGCCGUACAUCAUCAAGGCGGCACUAAUUAUCAAACCGCAGAAGCUCACCACUUGCCUGCCGUUGGGAAAGCCAGUAAGUGAAUUGACUAACCGAUUGAAGUGCUGGAUCGAGUGUAACGUAUUUCUUUGUCUCCAGUGCAUCAACUCGAAGGACCCCUGCUGCGCGCUGGUUUACAAGACCUACCUAGGCCUGGGCACAGUGUCAACCACGUGAUUCCAAUUCGGGAAGAGCGUCUGCCAGGUGGACUAGAGCAUCGAAAACUUCGACGUCUACAGCAAGCUGAUCCAGCAGCUGAACAGCACAAACUUCCAGGAGCUGAUGAACAAGUACUGGAGUACUAUUCCUGUUUCGUACUUUUGCCCGCCGGCAACGGCAAAAACUGGUUGUCGAAUUGAACAGCGGGUGAAUCGUCUAUCAAGUAUCAACUACCUAUUUGCGAGCAUAAGAUUUGGGCGGAGUCUGAAACGUCUAAGAUGUGUUUAUUUUUGUAACUUCUGAACUCGAAAUUAAUCGCAAUUAGUCGUAAUGAUGUAUGUUUAAGAUAACAAUAGGAUGAUUUGUAGCUUUCAAGAGAAAUAAAACAAUUUUUUUCAUACUC